GCACGCACGCACGCACGCACGCGCACACACACACACACACACACACACACACACACACACACACACACAUGGGGGGGGGCGUCAAGGGGGGCUUCGCCCUCUCUCUCGCACUCACCUCGUCUAAGUCGCUAAUCCAUGUACUAUUUGCAAUGCGGAAUCGUAUCGUGUGCAAUCGGGUCCGUCUGCAAACGGAUCGGUGCGCAAUCGGGUUCGUGUGCAAUCGGGUCAGUGUGCAAUCGGGUCCGUGUGCAAACGGGUCGUGUGCAAUCGGGUCUAUGUGCAAAUUGAUCGGUGCGCAAUCGAGUUCGUGUGCAAUCGGCUCCGUGCCCAAUCGGGUCUGUGUCCAAUCGAGUCCGUGUCCAAUCGGGACUGUGUCCGAUCGGGAUGGUGUGCAAUCGAGACUGUGUUUAAUCGAGUCCGUGUCCAAUAGGGGGUCUGUGUUCAAUCGAGUCCGUGUCCAAUUGGGAUUGUGUCCAGUUGGGACAUACUACUGUGUUCAAUCGCUUAUGUGCGCAAUCGGGACAGACUCGUAUAUACAGGGUGAUUCAGAAUGACCCAGGUGUUCUUACAAUGACAUAUUUUUUAAUUAAUUUUAAGACGAUUUUUUAACGAAAAUUUAAUCCAAAGCUUACUUUUUUAUUAAAUAAAAUAGUUACCGAAUUACGGGAGACAUACAGAAAGUAUAGUCUAGGAGUCAGCGAUAGUUUGAACUUCGUUAUUUUAUCAAAACUGAUUUUUAUUUAUAAGAAUUAUUAUUGCUAAUAAAUGAAAUGACCGUCAGCUAGCGUAAUAGCGGUAGAGGCGGUUGCAGUAGUGCCUUCCACGUGUAAAAAAUAUUAAAAAUUAGUUAUAUUACCAAAGCUAAAAACUUUUACUGUUUAAUUAUGCUUUAAGAUAGCGAAAAAUAAAAGCCAUUUGGCGAAAUUUUCACGAAUUGUUUUUCAUAAAUUUAUAAUUUACUAUCAUUUAUGGUUUUUGAAAAUCAUCGAAAUGUGAUAUAUUACGUCUUGUAUGUUUAAGCUUUCGAAAGGCAGCAUUUUUUAAAAUCAAGAUGAUGAAAUCAAAAUGGAGGCAAAUAAGUGGACAGUUGAAUUUCUCUGUUUCUGUUAAAUUUUAAUGCAGUUAUAAAUGAAAGAUAUAGAACUUUGCAGAUUUUUUGAAUUAACAUUAUUUUUUUAGGAAAAAAAUGGCUGAUCCAAAAUGGCAGUUCAAAAGUCAUGAUAGUAAAAAACCAAUACUUGUUUAGAAAACCUGACUAAUACCCUUGAAACCAAUAGAAAAGUAGUUGUUUUUUACAAAUGCAUGUGUAUAUAUCUAUGCAAGUAUGUGUAUUUACGCGUGUGCGUACAAAUUCGUGUGCAUUUGCAGUUAUACACUCCCAUACAUGUAUUUUUUUUACGUUUUUUAGCCGUCUACAAUCAAAGCUAUUGUCCUAAUCUUACCACGAGAAGGUGACCUUUAGGUGAAAUAAGAUUUACUUUUGUUAUUGAUUUAUUUUUCUGUGUUUUUAAUUUUUGUUUUUUUGUACUUUUUAUUUAUUGAAUACGCAGUUUGUGAAACCGAGAAGAAACAUACUGCAAAAGACUUUACUAUAAAUAUAGUUGAUUAUUAUUUGAAAAAAAGCUAAAGAGGAUAAUGUAUGAUCUUACAAAUUGAGUAAAAUUGAUAAGAAAAAGUAUUAUUCGAAUACAAAGUGUUAGAUACAAAUUUAGUCAUACUGCGAUAAAUGCACUAAAUAUUUUUGCAAAACUUGUUUUCACGAUUUGCGUAAGUUAAAAUAAAGAAAAAAUAUAAGAGAGAUAAAUGUAUAUAAUAUAAGUGAGAGGAAUAUAAGCAUUCAAUAAAUAAAAAGUACAAAAAACAAAUUAAAAACAAAAAAUAAAAGAAAAUAAAAAACAAAAGUGAAUCUUAUUCACGUUAAUCUUCUUGUGGUAAUAUUCGGACAACGAUUUUUGCAUUAUUAAUACAGUAAGAACAUUGUUAAUUAAUUGGUAUUAAACUUUCCUAAGUUUACUUGACUGUUCCAAUAGAAUAACAGAUACUGUGCAUAUUUUUUUAGAAAGUAUUAAUUUCAUAACUUAUUUUUUGUGUUUCUGGGCAUCUAUUUAUUUGCGCGAAGCGCAUGAGGCAAGACUUCAACAAUGAGACUGACGCGUAAACGGUUUGGCCGCGUUUUCCUGGAAUUUUUCUCUCUUACAGCUCUAGCACACACACACACGCACAUAUAUUAUCGUACAAUUUUACAUCUAGUUCUGCAUUUAAAGAAUUUAUGAAGGAACUGGAACCAAAUUAUGGUAGUCUAACAAUACUUCGCCGCCUUCGUAUGUUUGAGAGUGAAUCAAAACUAAAAUUGAACAACAACUAGCUGAAGUGUGUUAUUCUCAACACAGAUUGCUGGACUUCUAGAGCUCAGGAAGGUUACAUAAAUGUCAACGCACUUUAUUAAUAAAGAUUGAGUGCUGCAUAUUUUUACCCUUUGGACUGAAAAGCUUGAAAAACGUCAUACAGCUGAAAAUCUUGCAGACAGUUUAUAAAAUGUUAUUUUGCGAUAUGCAACUAAAGAUAAAAUAAUUGCUGUAGUAAAUGAUAAUGCGAGAAAUAUUGUAUUACAAAUUAUUAACUUUGUACCACAUAUUUAGAUCGGUCUUACUUAUGCUGCUCAUACAACUUAUUUGGCAGUACAAAACGCCUUUAAUCAAGGAGAUGUAUAUAAUUUGUUAACAAAAGCCAGUAAGAUUGUGUUUUAUUUUCGACAUUUUGCUCUUGCUUCGAAAAAUCUCGCACUGAAACAGGAACAGCUAGGUUUACCAAAACUUAAAUUGAUUCAAAGUGUUCGCACACGCUGAAAUACUGACCUGCAAAUGGCUGAAAGGCUCAUUGAAAAUCGCAGCGCCAUUACAAAUGUGCUAACAGACAAAGCCGUAACAAAAUCACAAUAAGCUUAAGCUUUAAAAAUGCAAGAAAACGAUUGGGGCAUUUUAGAGUCCUUAGUAGAGAUCCUAAAAUCUCGAGGUUGCUACAACGGUUUUAUAGGGAGGGACACUUUCAAUGGUAAAUUCGAUUGUGCGCACUUUAAUUGAUAAUUGUUUAACUCCUGCUUUGAAUAAAUAUAAAGAAAAUGAAACGAUUACUCCUAUAAUAAAGGCAUUAUUUAAACAGUUGUUAGAUCGAUUUAGUCUAGACUAGGAUUCACAAAAUGAUAUUCAAGUGUUUCAAAAAACAUUUUUCUUAGACCCUAGAUUUAAAGGACUACUAGCUGAAUCAGUAAUGGUAAGAGUAAUAUACAAGCACGUAUUAAACAAGUGAUUGAAAUUGAAACUUUGUGUCGAACCAAAAGUAAAAAAGCUGACAUUAAAAAUGCAAGUGCUCUUGAUUUUCUAUUCAAGCGCUGAGAAUGGAAAACUCAUCAGCUGCUGAGCAGUACAAAAGAUAUUUAUCAGAGCCAGAAAUAAACAUAAAUAUGGACCUAUUUAAAUAGUGGAAAUUCAUGAAAAAAAUUCCAUUGGUGUCACAAUUAGCUAAAAAAUAUUUAUGAAUUUCUGCCACCUUUGUUGCCUCAGAGAGUUUUUUCAACAGCGGAAAUAUUAUCACAUCGCAACAAAGUUGUCGCUACUAAUGUAUUUUUAUAUCAAAAUAGAAAUUAUUUGUAUUAAUUUUGAAAAUUAUUAUUUGUUUACUUAUUUAUCUGUUUGUUUAUUUAUGUAUUUAU